CGAACGCUGGCGGCGUGCUUAACACAUGCAAGUCGAACGUGAUUUUUAUGAAGUUCCUUCGGGGAUGGAAAUGAAAUGAAAGUGGCGAACGGGUGAGUAACACGUGAGCAACCUACCUUACACAGGGGGAUAGCCGUUGGAAACGACGAUUAAUACCGCAUGAGACCACUAAGACACAUGUUUUGGAGGUAAAAGAUUUAUCGGUGUAAGAUGGGCUCACGUCUGAUUAGCUAGUUGGAAGGGUAAAGGCCUACCAAGGCAACGAUCAGUAGCCGGUCUGAGAGGAUGAACGGCCACAUUGGAACUGAGACACGGUCCAAACUCCUACGGGAGGCAGCAGUGGGGAAUAUUGCACAAUGGGGGGAACCCUGAUGCAGCGACGCCGCGUGAGCGAAGAAGGUUUUCGAAUCGUAAAGCUCUGUCCUAUGAGAAGAUAAUGACGGUAUCAUAGGAGGAAGCC
rnacentral:rRNA from 1 species